CCUACGGGAGGCAGCAGUGGGGGAUAUUGCACAAUGGGGGGAACCCUGAUGCAGCGACGCCGCGUGAACGAAGAAAUAUUUCGGUAUGUAAAGUUCUAUCAGCAGGGAAGAAAAUGACAGUACCUGACCAAGAAGCCCCGGCUAACUACGUGCCAGCAGCCGCGGUAAUACGUAGGGGGCGAGCGUUAUCCGGAUUCACUGGGCGGAAAGGGAGCGCAGGCGGCACGGCAAGUCCGGUGUGAAAGCCCGGGGCCCAACCCCGGGACUGCACUGGAAACUGCCGGGCUGGAGUGUCGGAGGGGCAGGCGGAAUGCCUAGUGUAGCGGUGAAAUGCGUAGAUAUUAGGAGGAACACCGGUGGCGAAGGCGGCCUGCUGGACGACGACUGACGCUGAGGCUCGAAAGCGUGGGGAGCAAACAGGAUUAGAUACCCUUGUAGUC
rnacentral:rRNA from 1 species